UUUUAGAGGGUUUAACAAAACAGAGGGUUUUUAUACAGUCUAUGGGUUUAACAGUAGGGCAAUCCUGCACAGCAGGAGAGCUGCCGUUUUAGGACUGCAGUUUUCAGGCCCUUCAUUCUUCCGCGACAGCGCCACAUAGUUUGGAGGGUAAACGUGCAUUUCUCCAGGAAAUAAUAAAAUGAAAAGCUGCUGACAGACGCCGAGCUGGACUACUUGCUUGUUGGACUGCAGGUGGACCGUUCCUCUCUUUGAGCCGAGGACUCAAUAGAUUAUAAUGCCGCAGAUGGACGGGAGCUUAGUGUCACAGUUCCUGUCGUCCAAACAUCCCGAAGCUUUAUUAUCUGUAA